rnacentral:rRNA from 1 species
UACGUAGGGUGCGAGCGUUGUCCGGAAUUAUUGGGCGUAAAGAGCUUGUAGGCGGUUUGUCGCGUCUGCCGUGAAAAUCCGAGGCUCAACCUCGGACUUGCGGUGGGUACGGGCAGACUAGAGUGUGGUAGGGGAGACUGGAAUUCCUGGUGUAGCGGUGAAAUGCGCAGAUAUCAGGAGGAACACCGAUGGCGAAGGCAGGUCUCUGGGCCACUACUGACGCUGAGGAGCGAAAGCGUGGGAGCGAACAGG